GGCCACGAUAAGCAAAACCGGGUCCAUCUAAUCAGCUCGGAGUGCCAGGCAGAUGGCCUGGGCGCUGCAGGCACCUUCUUUGGGCAGGGACUUAUGAAAGCCAGCAGCAUUUCACUUCAUUUUGCAGGUUUUUUUCUCAUUUCUCAUUGUUUCUGGUGGUGUAUUACAUUUGUGCUGUUUAAAAGCUGUCCUACAGUACAGAGGCCCCAUAAAGAAGGUUACGUACCAGUGAGGACUCGGAUCUGUGGGUCUGAUUCAUCAUUUCAUUUAGCUGCUCGCAGUGAUGCAACGUGCGUGCAGAUUGCGGCGGUGUAUUUCGCAUCGACUUGUCGGCGUAUAAAUGACUGUGCUCUGCGCAGGCCGCGGCCAAACUGUGCUUUUAACGCCACAGAUAGCUUUGUCCUUUGCUGUUUCUCUGCCGUGGGGGAGUUUGGGGCUCGUGGAGCGCCCAAGGGACCUGCUAACCCCAGGGGAGCUCCGGCACUGGGACGGGAUGGACCGAGCAGUGGUCGUGCCCUGGGAGGCAGCAAGGGAAUCGUUGCACAAGGCUGACUUGUUUCAAAGGAAGGUUUUGUAAAUGGAGUUGAGUUCACUUUGUUGAUGAGCCGCAAGGGAUGAUUCUUACUUGCCAGGCAGGGGUGGCAGGAAACCAUCCAAGAGACACAGGCUCUUUCCUUUUCCUGCCGGUGGGACGUGUGACACGACAAAACCACAAACCAGACCAGACUCCCCAAUGAAUAAUUUUGUCCCUUCUUUCACGGGGAAAAUCCUCAGUCCGUGCAUCUCUGCUUUGGCAUCUCUGGCCACAGCAGCUCCCUGCACCCCGGGGUGGCCGAGACAUGGGACACAGAGCGGGAACAGAAAGGAUUCCUCAUGUCACUGCUCCUCAGAGUUAAAAUAUAACCUGCUCCUACCUGGAAACAGCACGGUAUUUCAGACUGAUUCAUACUAUUUCUUACUAGGGAGCAAGUGUAGGGGAAAGGGCUCAUUAAGGUAAGCGACACUGUAAUUUCCCCACCCUCGUCUGCCCUGCCAAAAGCACUGGAAGGAGAUUAGCUGCUGUUGACUGUUGUUUGUGGAGUAGAAACCGUAGAUAAACUAUGUGGAGCAAUACUGGAAAGCGUUCCCCUUCGAGUUUUAUUUCCUUGAAUAAGGCUGCCUUACGGAAAGGAAGUUCUCGUGCCCGUGUUUGAUUUACGUCUUGCAGACAUGGGUGAUCAUCAGGGAGCGCUGUCUGCUGGAAUUACAUGUAUGCACAUGGCUCACUAGCUCCGAAAUGUCAUUUAAGCUGGAGAACACAGUGUCAAACCAUCUGUCAGCAACAUAUAUUUGGUUUAGUCUCUUUUGGAGGAAGCAAAGCCGUGAUAAUCCAGUGGCUUCUGCCAGGGGACAAGAUGGGGGGGGAAAGGAAGGAGAGAUUUAGCAAUUGCUGUAUUAAAUUGUGUGUCGUUGAAGGACUUUUUACAGUCUCUCUACAGGUUUCGGGACAGUUGAUGAUGCUUGGUCUCACGGGACAGCUUGGACACGCCAGGACGGUGGCUCCGGCUCUCCCACCCCCCCCGUACAAGCGCUGCUCCAGCAGCGCCGUGUUCCCACGGAGAACGGAGGCUUCCCAGCACAAACACAGGGCAGGAGGGAGGAGGACAGCACGUGCCAGCGCCAGCCCCUCUCCAGGUACCUGGACGGGAGGCGAGGAUGAGAACAGAGCAGGUUUUUCCCGCCCCGUGUGUAUUCAUGUCAUGGUUAAUGGGAAAACUAAACACUUCAUUUUUCUGCUUUUUUGGACCCUCGGAGGAUGGUUUUCUUACUUGGUUCCCAAAGCUCAAGCAGCACCAAAUUGCUUUGCAUUAUCGUGGCGCUUCACGCGAAUGGUUAACCUUGAUUUCAGUACAUGCUACACAAUACCAACCUUCCCAGCAAGGUCGAAUUCCAAAUAAUCCUUCAAGGAGGAAUGAAAUAAAGUCGGUGCUGUUCCGGGAGCCCUGGGCCACAAA